UACGUAGGGGGCGAGCGUUGUCCGGAAUUAUUGGGCGUAAAGAGCUCGUAGGCGGCUUGGCAAGUCGGAUGUGAAAACUCCAGGCUCAACCUGGAGCCGCCAUUCGAUACUGCUAUGGCUAGAGUCCGGUAGGGGAGUGUGGAAUUCCCGGUGUAGCGGUGAAAUGCGCAGAUAUCGGGAGGAACACCGAUGGCGAAGGCAGCACUCUGGGCCAGCACUGACGCUGAGGAGCGAAAGCGUGGGGAGCGAACAGG
rnacentral:rRNA from 1 species